CAUUUAUGGAGUGGUGAGCUCCUCUUAUCA
rnacentral:tRNA from 1 species